UACGUAGGCAGCGAGCGUUGUUCGGAAUUACUGGGCGUAAAGAGUGUGUAGGCGGUGCUCUAAGUUCGGUGUGAAAUCUCCUGGCUCAACUGGGAGGGUGCGCCGGAAACUGGAGUGCUUGAGCGUGGGAGAGGAAAAGCGGAAUUCCUGGUGUAGCGGUGAAAUGCGUAGAUAUCAGGAGGAACACCUGUGGUGUAGACGGCUUUCUGGACCAUAGCUGACGCUGAGACACGAAAGCGUGGGUAGCAAACAGG
rnacentral:rRNA from 1 species